rnacentral:rRNA from 1 species
UACGUAGGGGGCGAGCGUUUGUCCGGAUUCAUUGGGCGUAAAGAGCUCGUAGGCGGCUUGGCAAGUCGGGUGUGAAAACUUCAGGCUCAACCUGGAGAUGCCACUCGAUACUGCUAUGGCUAGAGUCCGGUAGGGGACCACGGAAUUCCUGGUGUAGCGGUGAAAUGCGCAGAUAUCAGGAAGAACACCCGUGGCGAAGGCGGCUCUCUGGGACGGUACUGACGCUGAGACGCGAAAGCGUGGGGAGCGAACAGG